rnacentral:rRNA from 1 species
AUACGGAGGAUCCGAGCGUUAUCCGGAUUUAUUGGGUUUAAAGGGAGCGUAGGUGGAUUGUUAAGUCAGUUGUGAAAGUUUGCGGCUCAACCGUAAAAUUGCAGUUGAAACUGGCAGUCUUGAGUACAGUAGAGGUGGGCGGAAUUCGUGGUGUAGCGGUGAAAUGCUUAGAUAUCACGAAGAACUCCGAUUGCGAAGGCAGCUCACUAGACUGCAACUGACACUGAUGCUCGAAAGUGUGGGUAUCAAACAGGAUUAGAUACCCUGGUAGUCCGCACAGUAAACGAUGAAUACUCGCUGUUUGCGAUACACUGUAAGCGGCCAAGCGAAAGCGUUAAGUAUUCCACCUGGGGAGUACGCCGGCAACGGUGAAACUUAAAGGAAUUGACGGGG